rnacentral:rRNA from 1 species
GACAGAGGAUGCAAGCGUUAUCCAGAAUGAUUGGGCGUAAAGCGUAUGUAGGUGGCUUUUUAAGUCCGCCGUCAAAUCCCAGGGUUCAACCCUGGACAGGUGGUGGAAACUACCAAGAUGAAGUAUGGUAGGGGCAGAGGGAAUUUCCGGUGGAGCGGUAAAAUGCGUAGAGAUCGAAAAGAACACCAAUGGCAAAAUCACUCUGCUGGGCCAAUACUCACACUUAGAGACGAAAGCUAGGGGAGCGAAU